rnacentral:lncRNA from 1 species
AGAAGUUGAUAUUUUGUUGGGCGAUCUCAUGAUGGAAGGUUAACAAUUCGUGCCUACUUAUUUACUCCCUCAACAACUAUAUUCAUUUUUGUUUUCAAUUGGAGUUCUUUUAGCAACUUAUGGAAUCCUCUUUCAUUGCUCUGCAUUAGCAAAAUAUUUGAUCCUUAUCUGUAUAGAUACUGUAGAAGAUGCUUAUUUCAACCAUGUUGUAAUCUUGGUUUCAACGUCAGAAAAAACAAUCCUGAUUCUGGAGCAGUCACACACAGUUUAAGAAUAAUUUCUUAGUUCAUAGCCCCUAUUAGAAUUACAAUACUGAGACAAACAAGGAACAGAAAAUAAGAUGGUGAUUUCAUACAAUUUGCAGUCUUCAUUGUGAUUUUAAGGAUAAUCUAAACUCCCAAAUAGGCACUUUAGUGUUAGUUAGCAUUAGGAAUCUUUUGUUGUUUCUCUUUUUAAGCAGUAUGCAUGCGUAAUUAGAGCAGAUAUUUGGAUAUUAAACAUAUUUAAAUCCGUAAGGAGUACUCAUGUAAAUGUCACUUGCUUAAUUUCGUCCAUUUUAUGCACGAGCGGUUUAUUCCAUCUUUUGUAUCUACGUUAUUUUCCUUUAAUAUUUGUCUAUUUUUCAUGUUUGCAGUUUGUUGUACAAGAUUGUAUCGAUGCAGAGUUACAACAAAUGUCUUUUCUCUUUAUAUUUUCAGGUAAAGAUUAUCCAAGCAUAGAUUUCAUUUUCUUUUUGAGAAUGUGUGUGGAUGACAGUAUAAUGAAGAAGUUAUCUUGUCUUAAAAUUUUGUUUUGUUUUGUUUUACGCACAAUAAAGAAGUUUUUUUUGUAUUAUGAUACUAUCCAAAUGUGUAUCAUCUUUAUAUUGGAUUUGAAUUACUUAGGAUUUCUAUUUUAUACAGCUGCUGGAAUAUGUGGCUGAGCAGUGAUUUUGAAACAAAUAAGGGGCUAUCUUUUAUAUGGUAAUUUUUCAGUAAAUUGAAAUGUAAUAGUUUGUAGGCCAUAAUUGUAUUUGAUGCAACCUCAACCAUAAUAUUAAAUUGAUUUUGCUGAAUUUGGCAGAGUUGUCUUUUGAAUGGGAAAAAAUAAAGAAGCUUAUGGUGAGUUAUUGUAAUUCUUUUCACUUCGCCUCUCUUUGAAAAUAGAUAACCAUGAAGGAAAUGAAGUUCAAAGUUGAUAAGAUCAGUUGGAUUUUUAAAUAGUGUAGAAAAAGAUUUUAUAAUAUAUUUUAAAAUCAUGUUACAACACAAUAAUUGUUCAAAUAGAGAAAAAUUUAGAAGAGGUAACUGGGUUUAAUUAAUAAGUUCAUAUAAUAGAAUGAAACUAAUUUAAGAUAAAAUAAAACUACUAUUUAAACUUUUCGGUUGACUACUUUUUUUAACAGACUUGUCUCUUAAUACCCAGAAAGAAUAUAAUGUAUGGUUAUUAACUCACUACUUAUUUUUUCUUGAAUGAAAUGUCAGUAAAUUUCAAUGUGUUUUGUCUUGUUAUGUUGAACUAUGUGCAAUGUCGAUGGUUAAUUUGGUGUCACAAAACAAUUCCACAGGAUCUUAAAAAUGUAUCUUCAAAUCGUUUAACACUUGUUUCAUCCACAAUAUUUUGAUCUUCUGAGCUUUGUUUAUAAUUAAAGGACACCAUUGCUUUUAUGAGUCUUCCAAACCAUGAAUGAGGGACUGUUUUAAUUAAUUUAACUUAAUCAAUACAUCAUGUUGACCCUGAGACCAUAGCCAUAUUGACCGGUCAUACCAUAGUUUGAUGGAAUCUCCAUAUACAUAUCAUUAAAGGAGUACAUAGGUUGGAUAAAUCUAGCCAAAUCGAACCAAAAAAUGAGUUGAGUUGGGUUAAGGAAAUUCGAAAAUGCCCUUCAAAUUUUGGAAGUGCAUUUUCGAAUCCACCAUUUUCACACCAAAACGCAUCCUAACUGAGACUUGUUGGAGCAUUUUCCCGUAGCUGGAAUUAGACAUAAUACAUCAUCAGAAUCAAAACAAGUUUAUAAAAUAAUGAUCUAAAUGGAAUGAAAUUUAUGAUAUGCACAUUGACAUCUUCCUUCUGGUCUUUUUGACAUGCUCCUGUCAAGGAAGAUGUCAAGCUCCUUGACUUCUCUGCAGGAAUGUGCUUCGGGUGUAGGACUUUUGCCACUGAUUAAUCUUGAACUGUAUUCCCCUCUUGCAGGAUUAUAAGAGGAAUGCAUUUUGUUAGAGAAGCAAAACCUGGUCUAUAGAGAAGGUAGAUAUUGUGCAGGAGAGCACAAAUAAGCAAAUCUAGUUGAGCAAAUAAGCAAAUAUAUUGUUAUGCAAUUCUUUUAUUAUACAUCAAAAUAGGAAUUGUUGUGCAAAAAGAAAGGAUGUGUACCAAUGAAAACAAACAGAUUUGAUACACUUUUGAAGAAAGAAGGAAUGCAGAGAAGAAAUAGCAUGCAUAUUAUUGAGUAACUUUUGCAAGAGGUGACAAAGUUUCCACUUAAUGAA